AUGGAGUAGUCGGACGCAGAGGAGCGCGAACCCGGUCAGGUCCGGAAGGAAGCAGCCGUAGUGAACACCGUGCGGGUUGAUUGCUCCCUGUC
rnacentral:SRP_RNA from 1 species